rnacentral:rRNA from 1 species
UACGUAGGGUGCGAGCGUUGUCCGGAAUUAUUGGGCGUAAAGAGCUCGUAGGCGGUCUGUCGCGUCGGUCGUGAAAACUUGGGGCUUAACCCCCGGGCCUGCAGUGGGUACGGGCAGACUAGAGUGCGGUAGGGGAGACUGGAAUUCCUGGUGUAGCGGUGAAAUGCGCAGAUAUCAGGAGGAACACCGGUGGCGAAGGCGGGUCUCUGGGCCGUAACUGACGCUGAGGAGCGAAAGCGUGGGGAGCGAACAGG